GGGGGCGGGGCCGGCGCGACCGGCGGGGCGGGGCGGACACUCCCACCGCGCACCUGCUUCUGCCUGACGUGUACCCGGAAGGUCGUCAGCUCAGGCUCCAAAUAUGUAACAGUGAAACAGGUGGAGAGGUAUGAAGAACGAGGAACACUGCCCGGGGAGUUUCUUCCUCUGCAAAAUAAGGGAGUGUGUACUGAAUUACCGUUUCCAGCUCCAACAUCCAGGAUUUCAGCACUACCUGCAGAGUAGUGGGAGGAGAGAUAGAGGAAGAAGUGAAGAUAAGAAACCACUCGAAGCCGGUGUCUGGUGCUGGGACCGUGGUGGCUGGGACGGCAGCAGUCGUGCUGUCCAUCUGCUCUUCCGAGGGGUGGCACAUCCUAGCCUCUAUCUUUUCCCCAGAGAAGAUCCCCCUCGUCUGCUCUUCCCCCGUCUCAGCCUUUUAGUGUGUGAACAGUUCUGGUGUUACUCAGCAACGCUUUUGUUAGCGCCUUUACCAGCAAGUACUUGUUAAACACUUAAAUCUUACAAGUGGAAAGAAAAUUCCGUGGUAAAUUUAAGUACAAAAGUCAACCAAAAUUCUGAGUCUCGGACAAGACUGGUUAAAAAUCGUUCUACAAUGAAACUAAUAAAUUAAAUCAUAUAAAACUUUUA
rnacentral:lncRNA from 1 species